ensembl:snRNA U6 U6 spliceosomal RNA
GUGCUUGCUUCAGCAGCACAUAUACUAAAAUUGGAAUGAUACAAAGAUUCACAUGUCCUCUGCACAAGGAUGACAUGCAAAUUUGUGAAGCAUUCCAUAUUUUA